UACGGGGGGGGCAAGCGUUGUUCGGAAUUACUGGGCGUAAAGGGCUCGUAGGUGGCCAACUAAGUCAUACGUGAAAUCCCUCAGCUUAACUGGGGAACUGCGUCUGAUACUGGUUGGCUUGAGUUUGGGAGAGGGACGCGGAAUUCCAGGUGUAGCGGUGAAAUGCGUAGAUAUCUGGAGGAACACCGGUGGCGAAGGCGGCGUCCUGGACCAAUACUGACACUGAGGAGCGAAAGCCAGGGGAGCAAACGGG
rnacentral:rRNA from 1 species